rnacentral:rRNA from 1 species
GUGAGGAAUAUUGGUCAAUGGACGAGAGUCUGAACCAGCCAAGUCGCGUGAAGGAAGACGGUUCUAUGAAUUGUAAACUUCUUUUGUGCAGGAAUAAAGUGGGUUACGUGUAACCUUUUGUAUGUACUGUACGAAUAAGGAUCGGCUAACUCCGUGCCAGCAGCCGCGGUAAUACGGAGGAUCCGAGCGUUAUCCGGAUUUAUUGGGUUUAAAGGGUGCGUAGGUGGAUUGAUAAGUCAGCGGUGAAAGUUUGCAGAUUAACUGUAAAAUUGCCGUUGAAACUGUCGGUCUUGAGUGCAAAUGAGGUAGGCGGAAUGUGUUGUGUAGCGGUGAAAUGCUUAGAUAUAACACAGAACUCCGAUUGCGAAGGCAGCUUACUGGGAUGCAACUGACACUGAUGCACGAAAGCGUGGGUAUCAAACAGGAUUAGAUACCCGGGUAGUCC